rnacentral:rRNA from 1 species
UACGGGGGGGGCAAGCGUUGUUCGGAAUUACUGGGCGUAAAGCGCACGUAGGCGGCUUUGUAAGUUAGAGGUGAAAGCCUGGAGCUCAACUCCAGAAUUGCCUUUAAGACUGCAUCGCUCGAAUCCAGGAGAGGUGAGUGGAAUUCCGAGUGUAGAGGUGAAAUUCGUAGAUAUUCGGAAGAACACCAGUGGCGAAGGCGGCUCACUGGACUGGUAUUGACGCUGAGGUGCGAAAGCGUGGGGAGCAAACAGG